rnacentral:tRNA from 1 species
GCCGAAUGGCGGAAUUGGUAGACGCGCUGGACUCAAAAUCCAGUGUCCUUUAAAGACGCGCUGGUUCGACCCCGGUUUAGGGCA